GUAGGGAAUAUUGGACAAUGGGCGCAAGCCUGAUCCAGCCAUGCCGCGUGCAGGAAGAAGGCCUUCUGGGUCGUAAACUGCUUUUCUCUGGGGAUAAAAAGACCCUGCGGGGUAAAUUGAAGGUACCAGAGGAAUAAGCCACGGCUAACUACGUGCCAGCAGCCGCGGUAAUACGUAGGUGGCAAGCGUUGUCCGGAUUUAUUGGGUUUAAAGGGUGCGUAGGCGGUUCCAUAAGUCAGUGGUGAAAUACGGCAGCUCAACUGUCGAGGUGCCAUUGAUACUGCGGAACUUGAGUACUGAUGAGGUAGGCGGAAUUGACGGUGUAGCGGUGAAAUGCUUAGAUAUCGUCAAGAACACCGAUAGCGAAGGCAGCUUACCAAGCAGUAACUGACGCUGAGGCACGAAAGUGCGGGGAUCAAACAGGAUUAGAUACCCCGGUAGUCC
rnacentral:rRNA from 1 species